UACGUAGGGGGCAAGCGUUGUCCGGAAUCAUUGGGCGUAAAGAGCGCGUAGGCGGUCCGGUAAGUCCGCUCUGAAAGUCCGGGGCUCAACCCCGGGAGGCGGGCGGAUACUGUCGGGCUAGAGUCCGGAAGAGGCGAGUGGAAUUCCUGGUGUAGCGGUGGAAUGCGCAGAUAUCAGGAAGAACACCCGUGGCGAAGGCGGCUCUCUGGAACGCAACUGACGCUGAGACGCGAAAGCGUGGGGAGCAAACAGG
rnacentral:rRNA from 1 species